UUACUUUACAGUCUACAGAAACUUUUU
rnacentral:piRNA from 1 species